UACGUAGGGGGCAAGCGUUGUCCGGAAUCAUUGGGCGUAAAGAGCGUGUAGGCGGUUCGGUAAGUCCGUCGUGAAAGUCCAGGGCUCAACCCUGGAAUGCCGAUGGAUACUGCCGGACUAGAGUUCGGAAGAGGCGAGUGGAAUUCCUGGUGUAGCGGUGAAAUGCGCAGAUAUCAGGAGGAACACCUAUGGCGAAGGCAGCUCGCUGGGACGACACUGACGCUGAGACGCGAAAGCGUGGGGAGCAAACAGG
rnacentral:rRNA from 1 species